CCCAUCGAUGAAGAUGAUUUCAUCGUUUGUAUCCUUCAUGGUCUAGGGUCUGAGUUUGACCCUAUUGUAGCUACCAUUAAUGCACGAGACAUGUUUCCUCCUCUUGAAAGUGUAAUUAGUAAGCUCUACGAUUUGAAC